GCAGUUAAAUCCCCAUCACCAGGCAAAUGUCUUUCAAAAGGAUCUCUCACAGCAGGUAACUGGGAGGGAGUGAGGGAAGAUGUUGCGUUUUGGAGUCAAACAGACUUGGAACCAUCAUGUGGACGCGAGCUGUUGCCUAUUUUAAGCACUUCAUUUUCUGGAUUGGAAAAAACUUCAGGGUUUUUGCUUUAAAAACAUUCAAAGUGGGGUAGCAAAAUAUUGACCCGAAAGGCCAGAAGAAGAGACCUUAUUUAGGACUUGCUCGGAAUUACAAUUUUACUCUUCUUGGAGGAAAGUGACCCAAAGCAUUUUUACUGGAGGUGACAAAAUUUCCUGAGUAAGAAAUGUACUGACUUCUAGAUGAUGCUUAUUCCCGAGUAAGAAAUCCACUAACUUCUAGAUGUUUAUUCCCUACCAGGUUUGCACAUCAUAAAAUCUGACCUGGGCCACUUGGUGAAGGGUGGCUCUUGGGAAAGAGGAAUUCACUCGUUCCAUCCUCAAGAGGAUAUUUGUUAUCUAGAACGAACACUAAUGGAAAGUGUGUCACCUCAGAGAUCUGAUCUAGGUUUGGCUUCUAUUUCGCUCGUUUAUAACAUAUCAGAACUAGGUGGCUCAGGACUAACUAUGAUUGGGAAGUUUGGAAAAAUUUUUUUCUUUUUGGGAACUGAUGGAUUUGAAAGUCAGGACUUGGGCGUUGGUUGGAGUUAGCUCAGGGUUUCUAGAAUUCUGUUUCCUGGCUUUCAUCAACAAGUUGUGCCUUGAGUCAUCUUGUCACUGGGGGGGGGGGGGGGGCUGGUUGCACCAAUGUCAAAAGAUGUUAGAAGGAGUGAGUGUCACAUCCUGGGAUGAAGUCAUUUAGGCUGGUGACAUUCUCAGUAGGGUCAGUAGGAAUGAAAAAGUGGGAAAGAAAGUCAUGUCAAGGAUGUCUUGAGCAAGGGAAUAGAGUCGAGUCAGUAAACAGCAAUGGAAAGCAUAGGCUGUAAGGGUGCAAGCCACCUUCUCCAUUGUCCUGGGCUUGCUGCUCUUGCGGGUGAACUUUGGCAUCAAUCAAGCAACUAAAUGACAUUGAACAAGUUUCUGAAGGUACCCAGCGGGAACCCUGUCAAGACCCACAUCCGGCAGUUAAUUUCCUACCAACCUUAAUUACAAGUGUUAGUUAGUAUAAAAUGUAUGGAAAAGAGACAUAAGACACCCUUUGGGGUCUACAGCUGUCUUAUUUCUAUUUUAGAGAAUAAUUACAUGAAUGCUCACCAUCUAAAAUGGACUUUGGAAGGUUCUGUACCAAAGCCCAGGAUUGAGCUUUCUGCUUUCUGUGAGGGAAAGCUUGGAGACUUGUGUUCUAAGUAGUUCUUCCUUUUAACUGAGCUCAGAGACAGUGGCUCACAGGGCAAUGGCCGAGCAUUAAAUCUAGUCUCUUCUAAAAAGCAUUUAAAGCGGUAGUAACGUGACAUACGAGGGGCCACAGUGAGGCCCGUCCUGGUUUUGGGGGUACGUAGGAACUGGUGAUCUAUGGAGGAGAAAAAUAGGGCACUGAAAGAAAACAAGACUCCAGGCUCCUUCCUCAUAUUCCUGGCUGUGUCUGUCAUAGAUCUGCUGGCACGUUUUGUUUUGGGGACAAAGGACAGCACUGUUUAAUCCUUCUGUCCAUGCCAAACUCCAAAGGGGAUAAUUACAUUCUGCCUCCUGAAAUUCCCUUUGCAAUUUCAUCUGGGUGAAGCACUCUCAAUUGCCUGGGGUGUUGCUGAUCCUGGGAAACAGCCGCCAUGUUUUAUCCCCAGCUAGGUAUUUCAGUCAUGGCCAAGGUGAAUAGUGCACAGUUUGAUUUUGGCUCCAGUGUAUAAAUUAGACCGGGUUCUUUUGCAGUAAAAUGCACUGAGCAGGGUGGCAAAUGUCAGCUCACUGGAGCAUUAUGUGUCUGUCCCCUGUGCAAAACUGUUUUAAUUGUGCCUGAAGAGUACAGUCGAUUGGCUAAUGUUGUUUUUAAGAAAAGAAAUUAUUCUGGAGUUUUUUUUGUUUUUUUGUUUUUUGACCGGUAAAUGCAGUGCCAGAUAAUGUUUUUGUGUUCAGGUGAAAAAUCCAGUUCGGUUAUGUUAUUUGGGCCCCACUAGAAUCAUUAAAAACAGUUGGAUUUCUAUACGUAAGACCCAAAGUAAUUCAGUUUGGUUUUCUGACAAGUAAUUAUUUUUUUCUAAAUAGCACUGAUAGUAAUGUCAUUGUAAAUGGGAUAAAAAGGUUAUUAGGGAAAGAUUAUAUAUGCUUGUUUAAAUUCCUAGAUCAGAUCUUCGUAAUGUCAGGAAAAUCAUCCAAGUUUGUUAGAAUGAAAUCCAGGUGCAAUGUUCUAUCAUUUCUCUGAAGUUUUGGAGAAACAGAUACUAAGAUGAUAAUUUCAAUUCCCCGCGGGAAUGAAGAAAACCUGGACAAGAUGUUGGUUUUAAUAAUGGUAUUUCAAGCUGUUCCUAAGCUUAAUUGUGGUAUGGAGUAACACUGUAGUCAUGGAGUGGUGUAUUUAAAACCCACCAAGAGGUUUCAGCCUGAGAGCGGAACCAACGAAAGGGAAUCAUUAACCACAGAAGUGACUGAAGUGGUUUAAUAAUUAUGUUAUUUCAAGGGGGAAAAAAAAAAAAAGAUCUGCCUCAAGUAUAAAGGGGAAAAGAAGGCCUGAUAAAUAGAACUUAUUUCUACCCUAGGUAGUCAGCUAGUGAGACUACCAGUGGGAAAGGUCUAUUAACUAAUUGAUCUGCUAGACUCGAUAGGGAAGUCCAGCUGGAGAUCAAAGAACAUUCUCUGCUACAAAGGCAAGCGGCAACCUUGGACCAGAUGUUUUCCUUCCAGCUCUGUCAUGCUUGAUAACUGUAGAGUGUGGCUGAAUCUGGCCAUAGGCCUCGUCCAUCCGACCACUGAUAUGGAAAGCAAGGGGAUGUGUGUGCACGCACACGCGUGAAAAAGAGGCAAGAGAGCUUCGAAGUCAAAAAGGUUCCGCAUUUAAGAUUAGGUUGGGAGCCAAGCAAUUUUUUUCAAACUUAUUUGCAAAGUGAAGCAGAGCAAAGAAUGCCACUGUCAACUUUUAAAAAGACAUGGGCAAACUGUAUCACCUGGAUAGAACCAAAGAACUUUUAAAGACUGAAGAGUAAGGUAAUGUGGAUCCUGAGCCUAAAGAAAAGAGCUGGAGGUAACCCCAGGCUUCCAUAGCAAAUGCUGAGAUCCAGUCUACUCUAUGGAGUCAUCAGAGGGGAUGAGCUGGACAAGAAUUUUCCUCAUCUUUUCCUCUCAAGGCAUAAAGGCUGAGACAGAUCUCGUUUGCAGCCAGAAAGAGGGCAAUGUGUGGGGAAACUUGGCUUGGAUCUUGGAUCUUGAAGAGGGCAACUAUUCAUCACUUGGGCUGUGGUUACAGAAGACUUUUCCUGAGGGUCGACAAGGGGACAGGUGAGGAGAAGGUUCUGAUGGAGCCAUUUACCUCAUUGUGCUUGGGUCAAGGGCUUUUAAUUAUCUGUGUGCAGUGAAGAAAACUGUUCUCAGUAGCUUGGCGUGGGGGAGUGACUGCCUGUCUGAAAGCUGGGUUCUGGGGUGGAGCCCAAGCUUGUUCAAGCUUAGUUCACCAAGAAAGCAGUGGGGGUUGUCGUUCUGAUGUCGUUCAAGACCGCCACACCUCAUCUCUGCCUAUAACAGAAUCGCAGGUGUUAACACUGGAGUGACUAAUGAUUGUGACCUCAUUAAAAGAGAAAGGAUAUUACCUCCCGCUGAUUAGAGGGGAUGGUAGUCCUGGCUUAGUCACAGCGCAGACAGGCAUGGUUGGGUCUGUCCCUCAUUUAUCUCCUUCUGGUUUUUAAAUUGCCAGCAGAGGAGAUUUGUGGAAAACCUGUGUGAUUUCUCCUCCUCUCGGGGAAAUCAUCUGGUCCACCCUCCUUUGAGGCACCCACUCCAGGCUAAUCGCAUUAGCAGUCAGACAGGAUUACUGGAGACCUUGUUUCUUGGAGUCGUCUUUCUUUAUAAGAGCAAAUAAUGUACAGCUUGGGUGCAUUUUGUUCUCCCUGUGUUGUCAGUUAACUUUGAUUUUAAACACUUUUGUAGAGUGGAAGCCCGGAAUGAUGUAGAAUAACAACCACAGAAGGACUUCAGUGUCGGCUCGUCAGUUGCAUGUCUCUUUUAUGUGCAGCAACUGCUGGUGAAUCCCAGCUAGGUCUGCGAGGUCCCUGAUCUUGACUUCUAUGCCUCACAACCAAAGCUAUUGCCUGUCUUUUUCAACUUUUAUUGCUCUUAAUUAUUCUUACUGACCUCUCCACCAAUCAAAUGGAUGAUGAGGGAUAUCUAGAGAUUCAUGUGUCUAUCUAUCAAAGACUGUAACCUAUGUUGGGACUUCAUUUAACUUGUCUACGUCUUAAGCUUCUGAGAGACAGACCUAACAGUCCCUUAGUAAAGUUUUACCAAUGGGCAUACUAGAGGAAACCAAUCUAUGUCUUUCUCUGUAAAGCAUAU